AUAAAGUGAAACCGCAAAAGGCUCAGUAUAACAGCUGUAAUUUCUUAGAUCAUAUUCCCAGUACUUGGAUAACUGUGGAAAAUCUAGAGCUAAUACAUGCAAAUAAUGCGAGUAUCGUAAGAUUCUCGUGCAGUUAUUAGACAAACCAAUCGGUCUUCGGACUGUUUUUUUUGGUGGAACUCUAGAUAACUUUGCUGAUCGUAUGGCCUUGUGCCGACGACAGAUCUUUCAAAUGUCUGCCCUAUCAACUUUGAUGUUAGUAUAGAGGACUAACAUGGUUGCAACGGGUAACGGGGAAUCAGGGUUCGAUUCCGGAGAGGGAGCCCGAGAAACGGC
rnacentral:rRNA from 15 species